ensembl:rRNA 5S_rRNA 5S ribosomal RNA
GCUUACGGCCAUACCAGCCUGAUUGCGCCCGAUCUCGUUAGAUCUCAGAAGCUAAGCAGUGUCGGGCCUGGUUAGUACUUGGAUCGGAGACUGCCUGGGAAUACCCGGUGCUAUAAGCA